rnacentral:rRNA from 1 species
GACGAACGCUGGCGGCGUGCUUAAUACAUGCAAGUCGAGCGAGGCCUUGGAAUUGGAGUCCUUCGGGAUGAAGAGUCCUUGGCCUAGCGGCGGACGGGUGAGUAACGCGUGGGCAACCUACCCCAAAGUCCGGGAUAACAGUGGGAAACCGCUGCUAAUACCGGAUGGCUUUACCUGAGGGCAUCCUUGGGUAAAGAAAGGUUACGCUUUGGGAUGGGCCCGCGUCCCAUUAGCUAGUUGGUGAGGUAACGGCUCACCAAGGCGACGAUGGGUAGCCGGCCUGAGAGGGUGAACGGCCACACUGGGACUGAGACACGGCCCAGACUCCUACGGGAGGCAGCAGUAGGGAAUAUUGCGCAAUGGGCGGAAGCCUGACGCAGCGACGCCGCGUGAGCGAAGAAGGCCUUCGGGUCGUAAAGCUCUGUCCUUGGGGAAGAAGGCGAAAGCUUGACGGUACCCAAGAAGAAAGCCCCGGCUAACUACGUGCCAGCAGCCGCGGUAAGAGUCACGUCG